AGGACGAACGCUGGCGGCGUGCUUAACACAUGCAAGUCGAACGAUGAAGCCGGAGCUUGCUCUGGUGGAUUAGUGGCGAACGGGUGAGUAACACGUGAGUAACCUGCCCUUGACUCUGGGAUAAGCACUGGAAACGGUGUCUAAUACCGGAUACGAGCUUUAGCCGCAUGGCUAGGAGCUAGAAAGAAUUUCGGUCAAGGAUGGACUCGCGGCCUAUCAGGUAGUUGGUGAGGUAACGGCCCACCAAGCCUACGACGGGUAGCCGGCCUGAGAGGGUGACCGGCCACACUGGGACUGAGACACGGCCCAGACUCCUACGGGAGGCAGCAGUGGGAAUAUUGCACAAUGGCGCAAGCCUGAUGCAGCAACGCCGCGUGAGGGACGACGGCCUUCGGUGUAAACCUCUUUAGAGGAAGAAGCGAAAGUGACGUACCGUGCAAGAAAAGCACCGGCAACUACGAGCCAGCAGCGC
rnacentral:rRNA from 1 species